GUUUGCCAUUGUAAGUGCUAAUAAGAGGUGGUGUUAUUCAUUGUGAACAAUUCCGGAUAAGUGUGCUGGUGGAGUUAAAUUGAAUUUUAAUUAUCUUGUUUAACGUUCAUUGUGGAUGAUCAUCUCCCAUGCCUUAAGGAACAUCUCUUCGCUAGAGUCACACUGGCAGAAAAAAAAAAUGAAUAGGACAGUUGGUGGUCUUACGGAUUCCAGCAACCAGAAAAUGGAGCUUUAUACUAUAGAAGACGAAGUGGAUUAGAAAAGAAUCUCUUGAAAACUAUACAGUAAAACCAUUCCAGGAGUGAAAGGAGCUAAUUUUGUGGACACCCAACAGCUACGCAUAUGAAGGAGCUGAGAUGCAUAUACGUACAGACAAAAUGCAAGAUAGGGAGGAGUCGACAUAAUUGCCGUCAUCAAGUUUAGUUUUUUUUUUUUACCAUGAAGUUGUAUGAAAUAGGCGAAUGAAUGACGGCAAAUAAAAAGGAAUAAUGACAGAACUCGUGAGAUAACUGCAACCUUGGAAUUUUAUCCUGACUACAAUCUGAUGAGAAAUUAGACGAAAAGCUUAAAUGUUGGUGACGUCAUCUGAAAUUUACAAUUUUACAAGAAUUUCUGAAAGGAGGGGUUAUACAGAUGGAAUGGAACCAGUUGAAAAUGAAGAGAGCCCCUUAAAGUCAGCGUUGCCUCUGAUCAGAGGACGAAAGAAUACACUGUGAAAGGACACUGGGGCAGAUGCCAUCAUUCACCAAAGUACAGGGAAGUUCGGGAAUAGAGAGUAGAGUGUACAUGGAUUUUUGAGAGAAAUAAGUUGCCCUUUCCUUCUUUAGUCUUUACUUUUUAAUGUAUCCAUACUCAAUUGCUAAUGCACGAAGCACUUGCUGAUUCUUUAGAGAUGU